rnacentral:tRNA from 1 species
GCCUGGGUGGCUCAGUAGGUUGAGCAUCUGACUCUUGAUUUCAGCUCAGUCAUGAUCCCAGGGUCAUGGGAUCGAGCCCCAUGUCGGGCU